UGCGGGGUGGUGUAACGGUAGCACAGUCGCCUUUGGAGCGAUUAAUCGGGGUUCGAAUCCCUGCCCCGCAG
rnacentral:tRNA from 1 species